rnacentral:lncRNA from 1 species
CGUAAGUUCAAGUACCACGUUCCUAUCUAUGGCGGGGGUUAUUCUCAGUACCACAUUCCUAUCCAUCACGAGUCUAUUCUCAAUGAGGUGAGUUAUCCUCAGUAUCACACUCCUAUCCAUGAUGGGACUAUCCUUAGUACCACAUUCUUUCCUGUAGCAAGACUAUUCUCUGUGCCAUGUUCUUUCCCAUGGUAGUCUAUUUUUAAUUUAACUGUAGGCUUAGGUGUGGUGCUUCCAAGUCUUGGGAGGUCAAGUGAGGAGCCAUAGUGUUGGC